GAUUACGGCCAUACCACACUGACAACGCCCAAUCUUGUCUGAUCUCGGAAGCUAAGCAGAGUUGAGCUAGGUCAGUACUUGGAUGGGUGACCGCGUGGGAAUACCCGGUGCUGUAAGCA
rnacentral:rRNA from 1 species